CUGGAGGCAUUAGGAGCGGAAAUAUGCAGGCAGUAGCAUGCUGAGACGUAGAGAGAAGUAUUUGAACAGCAGAAGACCGGAGCACUUGGAAGCAGAAAGAAGAAGCAUAGGCAGAAGAGGUUCCUUUGACUAUGGACCGUCUCAACCAGAGGAAACAGCCUAGUGUUACAAAAAGAGCAAUACAAGAGUGUCUGGUGCACUGAUUCACACCCUGUGCGAUCAGAAUUCAGAGGACAUGAAUGAUCUACAGAGGAUGAAUCGGAAAUUCAAGUAAUAUAGGAAGACUGCUAAAUUGGAGCCUCCAAAUCAUUGUAUCAAAUGGAUAUGCACUUUUUCACCCAUCUGCCAGAAAAUGGAGAAGGAGGGGAGAAAAUAUCUUUGAAGCAGAUUUUGUGCAUCCCAAGAAAUGUUUGAACUUCUUGUUUGGAUUUAUUUUUCAGUGAAUACAAUCAUUUCUGGGGAUUCUCCAUUUUUAUUAGAAAGUGAUUUUUUUUCCUCUACAAUGUACUAGCGACUGAUACUGAAAAAAUAUCAUCUGUGAGGCACUUUCUAAAUUAAGUAAUCUCUAAAUUAUGUAAAACAUUUGAAAUGAGUUGGCAGGGAGGUAGAGAGGGAUUAAAUGACAGAAUCAAUAUCAUAA